rnacentral:lncRNA from 1 species
AUGGGUCUGAUCUGAUCAUUUUGUACUUGAUCUUUUAGGUUACAUACUACUUAGUUGCUGUAUUUUGUUGAAUGUAUGAGAGCUUUAUACUCAUGGAUAUAUAUUAUGACUCUUGUAACCUCUUUUUUUGUUAUAAUUAAUGUAUGACGUUAUCCAUUAUCAUCACCUUGUAUGGCCAACUUUUGUUUAUAUGUGAAUGAAUGAAUG